rnacentral:tRNA from 1 species
GCGGGCGUGCCGGAAUGGUAGACGGAAGGGCCUUAAAAGCCCUCGGUCCUUGGGACCGUGCGGGUUCGAGUCCCGCCGCCCGUA